rnacentral:tRNA from 1 species
AAUAAAGUGCCUGAAUAAAGGAUUAUUCUGAUAGGAUAAACUAAGUAGAAAUCCUCUACCUUUAUUA